rnacentral:tRNA from 1 species
AAUAUAACUUAGUGGUAGAAUGCUUGCCUAGCAUGCAUGAGGCCCUGAGUUCAAUCCCCAGUAUU